rnacentral:rRNA from 1 species
GGCCCCUGACCGGGGUUGCGGACAGUGUCUGGUGGGUAGUUUGACUGGGGCGGUCUCCUCCCAAAGCGUAACGGAGGAGCACGAAGGUUAGCUAAUCCUGGUCGGACAUCAGGAGGUUAGUGCAAUGGCAUAAGCUAGCUUGACUGCGAGCGUGACGGCGCGAGCAGGUGCGAAAGCAGGUCAUAGUGAUCCGGUGGUUCUGAAUGGAAGGGCCAUCGCUCAACGGAUAAAAGGUACUCCGGGGAUAACAGGCUGAUACCGCCCAAGAGUUCAUAUCGACGGCGGUGUUUGGCACCUCGAUGUCGGCUCAUCACAUCCUGGGGCUGAAGUAGGUCCCAAGGGUAUGGCUGUUCGCCAUUUAAAGUGGUACGCGAGCUGGGUUUAGAACGUCGUGAGACAGUUCGGUCCCUAUCUGCCGUGGGCGCUGGAGAAUUGAGGGGGGCUGCUCCUAGUACGAGAGGACCGGAGUGGACGCAUCACUGGUGUUCGGGUUGUCAUGCCAAUGGCACUGCCCGGUAGCUAAAUGCG